rnacentral:rRNA from 1 species
UACGUAGGGGGCAAGCGUUUGUCCGGAAUUAUUGGGCGUAAAGAGCGUGUAGGCGGCCAGAUAAGUCCGCUGUGAAAUCUCGAGGCUCAACUUCGAGCUGUCGGUGGAAACCAUCUGGCUAGAGUCCGGAAGAGGAGAAUGGAAUUCCUGGUGUAGCGGUGAAAUGCGUAGAUAUCGGGAGGAACACCAGUGGCGAAGGCGACACGCUGGGCCGUACCUGACGCUAAAGCGCGACAGCAUGGGGAGCAAACGGG